rnacentral:rRNA from 1 species
UGCGUAGGCGGGCUAAUAAGUCAGUGGUGAAAUCUCUCGGCUCAACCGGGAAACUGCCAUUGAUACUGUUGAUCUUGAGUUCGGUUGAGGUAGGCGGAAUGUGUAAUGUAGCGGUGAAAUGCUUAGAUAUUACACAGAACACCAAUUGCGUAGGCAGCUUACUAGACCGACACUGACGCUGAGGCACGAAAGCGUGGGGAGCGAACAGGAUUAGAUACCCUGGUAGUCC